rnacentral:rRNA from 1 species
GGGCCCGCACAAGCGGCGGAGCAUGUGGCUUAAUUCGACGCAACGCGAAGAACCUUACCAAGGCUUGACAUCGUAUUGACAAAUGCAGAAAUGUAUCUCCUUCGGGCAGUAUGACAGGUGGUGCAUGGCUGUCGUCAGCUCGUGUCGUGAGAUGUUGGGUUAAGUCCCGCAACGAGCGCAACCCUUGUCCCAUGUUGCCAGCAUUUAGUUGGGCACUCUUGGGAGACUGCCGGUGUAAAACUGGAGGAAGGUGGGGAUGACGUCAAGUCAUCAUGCCCUUUAUGCCUUGGGCUGCACACGUGCUACAAUGGUCGGUACAAAGAGAAACGAUAUCGCGAGGUGGAGCAAAUCUCAUAAAACCGAUCUAAGUCCGGAUUGUAGGCUGCAACUCGCCUACAUGAAGUCGGAGUCGCUAGUAAUCGUGGAUCAGCACGCCACGGUGAAUACGUUCCCGGGCCUUGUACACACCGCCCGUCACACCACGAAAAUUGGAUACACCCGAAGCCAGUGUGCUAACCAGCAAUGGAAAAAGGGGCCGAAGGUGGAGCCAUUUAUUCCGGGG